UACGUAGGGGGCAAGCGUUUGUCCGGAAUCAUUGGGCGUAAAGAGCGUGUAGGCGGCCAGAUAAGUCCGCUGUGAAAUCUCGAGGCUCAACUUCGAGCUGUCGGUGGAAACUGUCUGGCUAGAGUCCGGAAGAGGAGAAUGGAAUUCCUGGUGUAGCGGUGAAAUGCGCAGAUAUCAGGAAGAACACCGGUGGCGAAGGCGGCGACCUGGGUAGAUAUUGACGCUGAGGCGCGAAAGCGUGGGGAGCAAACAGG
rnacentral:rRNA from 1 species